rnacentral:rRNA from 1 species
UACGUAGGUGACCAGCGUUGUCCGGAUUUACUGGGCGUAAAGAGCGCGCAGGCGGUCGUUCAAGUCGAGUGUGAAAGCCCCCGGCUCAACUGGGGAGGGUCAUUCGAUACUGAUCGACUGGAAGGCAGGAGAGGGAAGCGGAAUUCCCGGUGUAGUGGUGAAAUGCGUAGAUAUCGGGAGGAACAUCAGUUGCGAAGGCGGCUCUCUGGACCAGCACUGACACUGAGGCACGAAAGCGUGGGGAGCAAACAGG